AAGGGGGUGCUUAAAUGCAGUCGAACGGUGUCUUCGGACACAGUGGCGGACGGGUGAGUAACGCGUGAGAAUCUACCUUCGGUCGGGGAUAACCCCUGGAAACGGGGGCUAAUACCGGAUAAGUCGAAAGAUGAAAGGUUAACUGCCUGAAGAGGAGCUCGCGUCUGAUUAGCUAGUAGGUGUGGUAAGAGCGCACCUGGGCGACGAUCACUACCUGGUCUGAGAGGAUGAGCAGCCACACUGGGACUGAGACACGGCCCAUACUCCUACGGGAGGCACCAUUGGGGAAUUUUCCGCAAUGGGCGAAAGCCUGACGGAGCAAGACCGCGUGGGGGAGGAAGGCCUUUGGGUUGUAAACCCCUUUUGUUAGGGAAGAAAAAAAUGACGGUACCUAACGAAUCAACCUCGGCUAACUCCGUGCCAACAUCCGCGGUAAUACCGAGGAGGCAAGCGUUAUCCGGAAUUAUUGGGCGUAAAGCGUCCGUAGGUGGCCCGGCAAGUCUGCUGUCAAAGACCACACCUCAACUGUGGAAAGGCAUUGGAAACUGCAAGGCUAAAUUGCGGGAGGGGUAGAGGGAAUUCCCAGUGUAAUUGUGAAAUGCGUAGAGAUUGGGAAAAACACCGGUGGGAAAAGCGCUCUACUGGGCCGCAACUGACACUGAUGGACGAAAGCUAGGGGGAGCGAAUGGGGAUUAGAUACCCCGAGUAGUCCUAGCUGUAAACGAUGGAAACUAGGUGUAGCAGCGUAUCGACCCGUGCUGUAUCGGGAGCUAACACGUUACGUUUCCCGCCUGGGGAGUACGCACGCAAGUGUGAAACUCAAAGGAUUUGACGGGGGGCCCGCACAAGCGGUGGAGUGUGUGUUUUAUUUUUAUGCUCCGCGAAAAACCUUUAACACGGUCUUGACUUGUUGGAUUCUAGGAGAAGCUAAAGUGUCUUCUGGAGCACGAAACACAGUGGUGCAUGGGCUUGUCAUUCACUU
rnacentral:rRNA from 1 species